CAGUAGCCGCGGUAAUACGAAGGGGGCUAGCGUUGUUCGGAAUUACUGGGCGUAAAGCGCACGUAGGCGGAUAUUUAAGUCAGGGGUGAAAUCCCGCAGCUCAACUGCGGAACUGCCUUUGAUACUGGGUAUCUUGAGUAUGGAAGAGGUUAGUGGAAUUGCGAGUGUAGAGGUGAAAUUCGUAGAUAUUCGCAGGAACACCAGUGGCGAAGGCGGCUAACUGGUCCAUAACUGACGCUGAGGUGCGAAAGCGUGGGGAGCAAACAGGAUUAGAGACCCCCGUAGUCCCUGUCUCUUAUAC
rnacentral:rRNA from 1 species